rnacentral:rRNA from 1 species
GCAAGUCGAGCGAACAGACGAGGAGCUUGCUCCUCUGACGUUAGCGGCGGACGGGUGAGUAACACGUGGAUAACCUACCUAUAAGACUGGGAUAACUUCGGGAAACCGGAGCUAAUACCGGAUAAUAUAUUGAACCGCAUGGUUCAAUAGUGAAAGACGGUUUUGCUGUCACUUAUAGAUGGAUCCGCGCCGCAUUAGCUAGUUGGUAAGGUAACGGCUUACCAAGGCAACGAUGCGUAGCCGACCUGAGAGGGUGAUCGGCCACACUGGAACUGAGACACGGUCCAGACUCCUACGGGAGGCAGCAGUAGGGAAUCUUCCGCAAUGGGCGAAAGCCUGACGGAGCAACGCCGCGUGAGUGAUGAAGGUCUUCGGAUCGUAAAACUCUGUUAUUAGGGAAGAACAAAUGUGUAAGUAACUAUGCACGUCUUGACGGUACCUAAUCAGAAAGCCACGGCUAACUACGUGCCAGCAGCCGCGGUAAUACGUAGGUGGCAAGCGUUAUCCGGAAUUAUUGGGCGUAAAGCGCGCGUAGGCGGUUUUUUAAGUCUGAUGUGAAAGCCCACGGCUCAACCGUGGAGGGUCAUUGGAAACUGGAAAACUUGAGUGCAGAAGAGGAAAGUGGAAUUCCAUGUGUAGCGGUGAAAUGCGCAGAGAUAUGGAGGAACACCAGUGGCGAAGGCGACUUUCUGGUCUGUAACUGACGCUGAUGUGCGAAAGCGUGGGGAUCAAACAGGAUUAGAUACCCUGGUAGUCCACGCCGUANACGAUGAGUGCUAAGUGUUAGGGGGUUUCCGCCCCUUAGUGCUGCAGCUAACGCAUUAAGCACUCCGCCUGGGGAGUACGACCGCAAGGUUGAAACUCAAAGGAAUUGACGGGGACCCGCACAAGCGGUGG